rnacentral:rRNA from 1 species
UACGUAGGGGGCAAGCGUUGUCCGGAAUCACUGGGCGUAAAGCGCGUGUAGGCGGCUCGGUAAGUCUGCUGUUAAAGUCCAGGGCUCAACCCUGGGAUGCCGGUGGAUACUGUCGAGCUCGAGUCCGGAAGAGGAGUGUGGAAUUCCUGGUGUAGCGGUGAAAUGCGCAGAUAUCAGGAGGAACACCGGUGGCGAAGGCGGGACUCUGGGCCGAUACUGACGCUGAGGAGCGAAAGCGUGGGGAGCAAACAGG